GUGGGGAAUCUUGCGCAAUGGGCGAAAGCCUGACGCAGCCAUGCCGCGUGGAUGAUGAAGGUCUUAGGAUUGUAAAAUCCUUUCACCGGUGAAGAUAAUGACUGUAGCCGGAGAAGAAGCCCCGGCUAACUUCGUGCCAGCAGCCGCGGUAAUACGAAGGGGGCUAGCGUUGCUCGGAUUUACUGGGCGUAAAGGGCGCGUAGGCGGACAUUUAAGUCAGGGGUGAAAUCCCGGGGCUCAAACGCGGAACUGCCUUUGAUACUGGGUGUCUUGAGUAUGAGAGAGGUGUGUGGAACUCCGAGUGUAGAGGUGAAAUUCGUAGAUAUUCGGAAGAACACCAGUGGCGAAGGCGACACACUGGCUCAUUACUGACGCUGAGGCGCGAAAGCGUGGGGAGCAAACAGGAUUAGAAACCCUUGUAGUCC
rnacentral:rRNA from 1 species